GUACGGGAGGCAGCAGUGGGGAAUUUUGCGCAAUGGGCGAAAGCCUGACGCAGCAACGCCGCGUGGAGGAUGAAGGCCUUCGGGUCGUAAACUCCUGUCAGGGGGGACGAAGGUCGGGAAACCGGCUUGACUGUACCCCUUGAGGAAGCCACGGCUAACUCCGUGCCAGCAGCCGCGGUAAUACGGAGGUGGCAAGCGUUGUUCGGAAUUACUGGGCGUAAAGGGCGCGUAGGCGGCUUGGCAAGUCAGAUGUGAAAGCCCCGAGCUUAACUUGGGAAUUGCAUCUGAAACUGCUUUGCUUGAGUCCUGGAGGGGGUAGUGGAAUUCCCAGUGUAGCGGUGAAAUGCGUAGAUAUUGGGAGGAACACCGGCGGCGAAGGCGGCUACCUGGACAGUGACUGACGCUGAGGCGCGAAAGCUAGGGGAGCGAACGGGAUUAGAUACCCGAGUAGUC
rnacentral:rRNA from 1 species